AGAAAAGUAAGCUAAAUUAAGCUAAUGGAUUCAUACUCCAUUAAUAGAGAUAGAAUUCUCUCUUCUCUA
rnacentral:tRNA from 1 species